AAAAGAUUGCGUAUAACUCUUAUUGGAGAGAGGUAUGUUAUCUUGUAUUAUAAUGAAAUAGUUAUAUUUGUUAUAUAUCUUAAUAUGUAAUAAGUUUCUUUUAUCUUACACAAGUACUUUUUUUGAGCAAGGGGUCACAACUACAAUAACAAGGAUCAUAAAAAAUCACUUCCAUGAUCCAUGGUCAACAUAGAGGAAAGUCCCUAAUGACAUAAAGGAGUUAAUGUUUAAAAAAUUUCAGGAAAAAUGUGUUUGGCCUACAAAUCAAGAUGUUUUGGUUCGAUGAAUAUGGGAUAAAAUAUGUUCUGAUAAGUUAAGAGACAUGCUUUCAGAAGAAUGGAAUAAAGUAAUGACAGAAGCCAAAGCAAACAAUAUUAGGGAUUGCAAAGGCAUGUCAAGGGAAUAGAUCACAAAUGAAAUCUGGGAUGCUUUUAUCGAUACGAUAUGGGGUACAGAAGAAUGGCAAAAUAAAUCAAGAAAAGCAAGGCAAAGUCAUUUAACGUCCAAAGAUAAAAGCAUUCCAAAGCACACUGGUGGUUCAGUUUCAUUUGUUAUUCAUGCAAAAAGGAUGAAGUAUGGUGAAGAUUCAUCUUCACGGCCAGAAUUCGAUUCGCAUGCUUGGACUGAAGCAAUUGGAGGAAUGGAGACUACACACACUCACGUGUAUGGGUUGGUGCUUGAGUGCUUGUUACAGCUUUACUUAAUGGAACACACAACAAUGUAGCAAUAUUUGAGUCUGGGUGUGGCCCUAUCAACUCAAAUGCUACCAGUCCUGCAAUUGCAUUAGAAGAGAAAGUGAAAAAUCUAUCAAAAAACUUGGAUAAGAUACGUGAGGAAAUACAUGAAGAAAUUAAGAAUGCAAUGGGAAAAACAUGAGUGAAUUUAUUGCACGUAUGGAAACAAUGAUCAUGACUAAUGUGCUUUCAAAACAAAGAAAUACGGGUACUUCAAGCUCAAAUCUUGACAAGCAAAAUGAUGAAAAGAUCUUAUUUGGUGUUAAUCCGUGCGUAUGGUGAUGGCUUCAUUCAUAUAUGCUGUGGUAUUUUAAGCAUAUAUUUCAAUCCAAAAGUCCAAAUGACAUGAUUUUUGAACCAUUGGAAAGAUAAGAGAUAGAGCUACAACUUUCAAUCUACCACUUUUCCCCCAAUUUGGAUCAGAACAUGGUGAAAAUUGCAUUAUAAGGAGGUAUACUGUGUCAGUUUCUACACAAGGUAGCAAUGGAAAACGAAGGUCACGACCUUCCAAAGAGGGAGGCCACAGUGCCCUUGAUGCCUAAAGCUCUUUACUAAAACCCAAGAGCCUGGUUCCAUAGAGCUGGUGAAGCAUGGCCAUGGCGCCAUUGAAGGAAAUCAACUGAGCAUUGUAACGAAGCGGAUGUGCCAUGGUGCUCUAAAAAGCAAGGUUGUGGUGCCUAGUUCCAAUAGUCAAGUUUUCCUUUCCUAAAUUUCUGAAAAUUAGGUCUUUUUAGAGGCUAUAAAAAGGCAACUUUAAUGCAAUCAAAAGAGAGGUUCUUACUAGGUUUUCUCUAGAGAAAAGUUACCACAAAACAACUAA